GAUGAACGCUGGCGGCGCGCCUAACACAUGCAAGUCGAACGGUUAAAGCACCUUUUAGGUGUGUAUAAAGUGGCGAACGGCUGAGUAACACGUGGGCAACCUGCCCUCCUCUUGGGGAUAGCCUCGGGAAACCGAGGAUAAUACCCGAUACUUCAAUGUGGCCGCAUGACGACAUUGAGAAAGCUUUUGCGGAGAAGGAUGGGCCCGCGGCCUGUUAGCUUGUUGGUGGGGUAGAGGCCUACCAAGGCAAUGAUGGGUAGCUGGGUUGAGAGACCGACCAGCCAGAUUGGGACUGAGACACGGCCCAGACUCCUACGGGAGGCAGCAGUGGGGAAUCUUGCACGAUGGGCGAAAGCCUGAUGCAGCGACGCCGCGUGCGGGACGAAGGCCUUCGGGUUGUAAACCGCUUUCAGCAGGGACGAGG
rnacentral:rRNA from 2 species